rfam:Schistosoma margrebowiei strain Zambia genome assembly, scaffold: SMRZ_scaffold0002701
GUCCAGCUGACGAGUCCCUAAUCGAACGAAACGCGCGUCCUGGAU